UACUACACGUGUUUCUAAAUAACCUUCAUCAGGAACACAUGUAGUGAAGACGGAUAUAAGAAUCAUAGGUAAGCUUCAAAUGCAUUAAUAGCAAAUCGUGACUGCUUUGCUGUUUUUCAAGCUUAUUUAAAAAAUGAAAUUUUUGAAAUGCAACGUUUGAAAGAGAAGAAGUACGAUCGAAUCCAGAAGUUGGAAACCCAAAACGUAUUAUGUUUGAAUAUACCUGGAUUUUUCCAAAUCGACAAUUAAACAUUUACUUAAUUGGGUCGCCCGUUUUGUUGUGACAGAUGUAGCCACAUCCGUUUUGAAUGAGGUCGGUAAAUACGAUUCGUAUGGCAAAUUGAGUGCCUCACUCCUCGAGCCUCACUCUUUGCAUGUUAAACACGCCUGCAACUAUCUUCUGUAGGAUUCAUGUGUGAUAUGUCAAUAUAUAAAAGAAGAUGUGGUAUGAUUUCCAAUGAGACAACUCUCAACAAGAGACCAAAAUGACACAGAAAUUAACAACUAUAGGUCACCGUACGGCCUUCAACAAUGAGCAAAGUCCAUACUGCAUAGUCAGCUAUGUCAGUCUGGUCCAGUCAUCUCAUUGUGUUUAUUUAUAUUUUUUGCUAGUCCAGAUAGACCAACGGAUGUUAAGUAAGCAAUAACCAAUUAAUCAGUGUUCAUGUAAUACAUUUCUCAUUCAUUAACAUGUGUGAAGUUAAGUUUGAAGAAAAAAAAACAAAUGGUGGAAGCAUAGUUUAUAAAAUUUUGUUUCGUAUUUGGUUUGUUCACAAACCACUCAUGGUAAUAUUCAGCCUUAACUGAUGUCAUCACCACAAAGUUUAAAGAUCAAUCGUUAUGAGGGGUGUGACACUAAAGCUCAUAGGAUAUAUUACAAAUAAUCCUAUAUAAUGCUGUCAACCUUUUCGAAUGAAAUAGCAUCACUCCUAGUUUUCAUUUUGCCUCAGUGAGUGUUCUUAUUGCCAAAAGCUGAAAUACUUUCUUUUAUAAUAUUGUAAAUAUUUCCUGCUUCAAUAUUGAAGAAAUAUCAAUUUAUGUUUAUACAUUGCCGACAAUGAAAUAUUAAUAUCCAAUUAGAAAUCUUUAAUUUCAGUAUAUUAUGGGUGUCUUUCGCCAUCAUAGAUUAUAAAUAACAGAGAACUUGAGGUCCAGAUUUUCAAUCAAGUUAGCAAAAUUUAAUGCAUUACUAAAUGGAAUGAAACCAAACAUGGCAUAAAGUUCCUUAUGAGGUGCUGACGAAGUGUUUCUACUUUGUUGCCGAGUUACUGUUUAAGAUGGCCACUAGGAAUUUUGAUUGAUUGAUUGAUUGUUGGUUGCUUUACGCCGCAUUAGCACAAAAAGGCUAUAUCGCGGCGAGAGCUAAUUCGAAUACGGUGCCAAUAUUAAACAAAAUUUUGCUACAAUCAUUAUUAGGGUAUCUGUUAUGAUUUUAAUCUAUUUUGACAUGAUUUUCAAAACCAAUGUAGAAUCAGGUGAGCGACACAGGCUCUUGAAAGCCUCUAGUUUAUUAAUGCAAUUUUGUAUUCCUUCUAAUCCACAUGUACUUAAGCAUGACAUGAAGAAUAAAGUUACAAUUAUACCGAUAAAAUGAUGCCAGACAGUGCGCAAAAAGCGCCAUCAUUCAAGUUAACUGAAACUUUACAAUAUUUUUUUCGUCACGUCGCAACUUAAUACCUAUAGUGGAGUAGCAUAUACAAGAGGUCACUCCAGGUUUUUUGUGUGGUUAAAUGUUCCUCUAUUAGUUCAGUUUUCUAUAGACUGUUGUUAGUUUAUUUCUUUGUUAGUUAGGCUUAUGCUAUUUUAUUGCCUCUAUGGUCCUUUCCAAUUUUUUUUACUACCAUGUCUUCUUCUGUAACGGUUAAGAAACAGUGUUAGUUUACACAAUUCUGCUUUUUAAAAUGUAUAUUUUCCCUUUGGUUAAUCAAGUGCAAUAAAUUACACUGAAUAAAACAUCUUAUAGAAACCACAAACGACAUUGUACAUGGUUCAUGGUUAAUUUCGAAUGAAAGUUCAUGGUAAGCAUUUUAAGAGAACGACUUAACAUCCGUCUUUCCAUCUGACAAUCCGAUGUUAAAAGUAGGUCGUUGUUUAGACUUAAUCUAAGAGGAACAAAGACAAAGUUUUAAUGUUGUUUAUAUACAGUCAGCAACAAAACCAAUUAAUAAGAAGCACAAUACUCUAUAAUAUCUGUACUAAUGACAACAAAACCCCAAAUAAAACUUAAUUGAUACCAAAUACUAUCACAUGAAAGAAUGUACGAUUUUAUUGGAAGCUAACAUUUUUUUUAUCUAGGGAGGAGUGGGGUUAUUUUGAUCACACAUUCAUACACUCCGAUAUACGUUGCUGUAUUUAUUGGAAUAUUUUAUUCAGCGACUUGAUUAACAUGUCAAGAUAAAAUAUGUUACACAAUGUGCAAUGUUCUAUAGUUUUAGUUUAAAAUAAUAGGAUAAUCCUUGUUUUAAAAGUUUUAUAGGUAAAGAAAGUAUUGUAUUCAUUAUAAUAACGUGCGCGCAUCAGACAAUAUGACAAAAACAUGUAUUUCAAUGAGAAUAUAUACUCAUCACAGAUACAUUUUGUUUUACCAGUAUUCGAAUUGUAUUCGCCAGAGCGCGUUUCGUGUGUAAAAGGCUUAUCAGUCGCGCUCAAUUCAAAAAGAUAAAAAGACCAAAUAAAGUACGAGAUAGAAAAAAAGUAUCCGAUAUUCCGAAACGUUUUGUAAAAUAAAGCUAAUAAAGGUAAUCUAUAAAGAACCAACCGAAAAUUAUCGUGAAAGAAAGAGAAUUUAACAUAUAACACACAGUAAGUCAUAAACUGUGCCAUCUCACAUAUAUAUAUAUAUAUUAUAUAUAUAUAUAUAUAAUAUAUAUAUAUAUAUAUAUAUAUUAUAUAUAUAUAUAUAUGAGAUGGCACAGUUUAUGACUUACUGUAUAUAUAAUAUAUAUAUAUAUGAGAUGGCACAGUUUAUGACUUACUGUGUGUUAUAUAAUUCUCUUUCUUUCACGAUAAUUUUCGGUUGGUUCUUUAUAGAUAUUGGUCUGGUUUUAUUGCCCAGGCAAAUUACUUGUUUAAAUAUUAUUUGUCUGUUUUAGUUUACAUUUAAAACCGAAAGCUUGUAUAUCCCACAGCUAUGCUCGAGAUUAAAGAUCAAAUAUGCGGUCGAAUAACGGCAUUAUAAAUGUAAAGCAUGCAGUGCAGAAAGGUCAAUUUUAUCAAGAAAGUUUAAAACGAAAUAUUUAUUGACUUUGGCAAAGAAAUAAGUCUCUACACUUGAAUGGAUUAUAAAUAUUAAAUGCAAAGCGUUAAAUGUUUGUAUUAGAAUGCUAACAUCAAUAUAAUGUAUGAUGUGUUUUUGUUCGACUUUUUGCGUUUUAAAUACUAGUAUUCAACUCGUCUUCAUAGGAGAACAAAAACAAGUUGGUAAGCAAGAACACAAAAGUCGUAUUCAUUCGAAUACCGACUGUUUCGAUUUUGAUGAUAAUUUCUUUGGUGUGCACGAGAUAUUCUCGAUAAAGGGAGUGAUCUGUCAGUUUUAUAAGAGUAAACAGUUGGUAGAACAUUAAAGUUCGGGUAGCAUAUUGUAAUGACCGAUUGAUGAAAACUCCAUAUCUCAGGUACUUUUUCAGGUCUUCAAUCUUUGGUUCUAAUUAGAACGGUUUUAAUAUCUUGGAAGGCAGCUAGUAAAAAUAGUUCAGCUAUGUUUUAGAUGUAAAGGCAGUGUAGUGAUGUUCAUUUAAUCUCAGGUAUAACUAGAUGUCUCUCAAAAUAAUCGGAACCAAACGAAGUGAAAUUAAGUGUGUCAACGGAGUAAAUAGAGUGUGUCAACGGAGUAAAUAAAGGCAAAAGUUGUUUACUGCUGUUCAAAACUCAUAAACCGAUUGAGAAAAAAACAGAUCCGGGUAACAAACUAAAAUCGAGGGAAACACAUCAACUAUUAGUGGAAUACAACGGAACAGCAGAACACUGAAGUGCAACAAAAACAAACGGCAAUUACACAUACAUAGACACGAAUUAUUAGAUAACAACUGCAAUAUUUCUGACUUAGUACAGGACAUUUUAAGAAAACAUGGUGGGUUGAACCAGGUUAUGUGGCUAGUCAAAUCUCACGUUUUAUGACAUGACAAAUAUACCGUUAAAAUGACAACAUUUUAUGACAGGAAUACAGUACAAAAAAUGUAAGAAUAUCCAAGACAGAGAGAUACAUAAAUGAAUAAUAAGCAUAUCUUGCAUUACCCGUCAAUAGAUUUCAAAGUUACACAAGAGCCAAGAACAGAACAAAAGCAAUACGAAAGUCAGAUAACACCAGUAAAAUGUCAAUAGCAACAAGUUUAAAAGACUGUUUUACGAUCAAUCAAUAUAUUAUGAUGACUGUAGAGGUUGUGAAGUGAUGAUUUAGUCCUUCUACCUGCAUGUGAAAAAUUAGUUAACCAGUAAUUUUCGAGUUAAAAGUAUGGGUAAUAAAAAUCGCUAGAUAGAAUAUAUCUUGUCAACAUGAAGCGUAUGGUACCGAUUUCAUUGAAGACUACACAGGUUUAUGCAGAUUUUGUCGGAGA
rnacentral:lncRNA from 1 species